rnacentral:lncRNA from 1 species
CUGCUGUAUUGUUUUACCAUAUUUUGUUGUUUUACAUGGUGUUGAACUGUAUUUUCCUUUUCAGCUUAUUUUUAAUUUAAAAAAUGUUUAUUCUUUUAUAUAGAUUUUAUUCUAUUCCAUUGUGCAAUUUUAGGUUCAUAGCAAAAUUGGGCAGAAAGUACAGUGAGAUCCCUGUAUCCCCUUACCCUCAACUUAUUUUUUUUCUUUCUUUUUCUUUUUGAGACAGGGACUCAUUCUGCUGCCCAGGCUAGAAUGCAGUGGUGUAAUCAUGGCUCAUUGCAACCUCCACCUCCUGGGCUCGAGUGAUCCUCCCAUCUGAACCUCCCCAACUAGCUGGAACCACUGGUGCGCACUACCACAUCCGGCUAAUUUUUGCAUUUUUUGUAGAGACAGGUUUUCACCACGUUGCCCAGGCUAAUCUCAAACUCCUGAACUCAAGCGAUCUGCCCACCUCGGCCACCCAAAGUGCCAGGAUUACAGGAGCAGAAAUUUGCAACCUCCUCUUUGCCGCAACACACCAAAAGGAGCAGAAUCAUUGACUCUUAGUAGUUCUCAGCUGUGAUGCAACAAAGCAUUUCAAAACCUCUAGCUGAAUGCUAAGACAAAGGCUUCUCAUUGUGUGAAAGCUGAAGGAUCUCUCCCUGCAUUCCCUUCAUGGGCAUCUCUAGGCUACUUGGCCUCAUGGAUGCUUCAGGCUCUCCAGUGGCUUCAGAGAUCCCUAGUUUCCAGCAUUCCCCCUCCUGCUGCAUGUCUCAGUCUAACUGGUCAUUGAUAGUGGCAGGAGACAGACAAAUUCCUAGGCCGACAGGGUUGGGUUCCUGGUGAAACCCAGCCUUCAAAUCAAAGACAAUUUAAAGCCUGAAAACCGACCUGCUGAUUCCAGAUAGAGUCUACAACCAGAGUAAGAACUUCUAUUCCUGUUCGCCCACUGUUUCCCUAGUUGGUCCUUUCUGAAUAAUGCUUUUUUUUUUUUUUUUUUUUUUGAGAUGGUGUCUCACUCUGUUGUCCAGGCUGGAGUUCAAUGGCACGAUUUUGGCUCACUGCAUCCCCCACCUCCCAGGUUCAAGUGAUUCUCCUGCCUCAGCCUCCCGAAUAGCUGGGAUUACAGGCAUGCCACCACACUCCGCUAAUUUUGUAUUUUUAGCCAAGACGCGGUCUCACCAUGUUGGUCAGGCUGGUCUUGAACUCCUGACCUCAGGUGAUCCACCUGCCUUGGCCCCUCAAAGUGCUGGGAUUACAGGCAUGAUGAAUAAUGCUUUUUAACCAAUCAAAUGUUGCCUUUUCCAAGGCUACCUACAACCUGCGCCUCCUAAUUGCAAACCUAUAAAAACCCCAGACUCAGCCACACAGACAGCAACCUGCUUUCUGGCCCUUGGUACACAGCGGGCUACCCACUUUGGGUCCCCUCUUGCUGUUGAGAGCUUUUCUGUCGUUCAAUAAAAUGAUUCUCUGCCUUGCUUACUCUACGCUGUCUGCAUACCUCAUUCUUCUUGGUUGCAGGACAGGAACCCAGAACCUGAAGAAUAAUGGGAGCAAAAAAGUUUGUAACAUACUCCUGGCCAGCUCACCAAGCUGAAGGGGGUGAGGAUGACAGGAGCUGUGACCCUUCUGGGGGCCCAGACCUUGGGACUCUCUGAGCCAGAGCUGUAACACACCACUGUUCACUAAGCCACAGGCGGCAGGAAUGAACAAGCUAUAAUACGUUCCCACUCGCCGAGCUGCAAGCAGCAGGAAGGAGAAAGAGAGUUGUGGCAUUCCCCGGUGUCUCAGACCUCGGGACUCCCCUAGCAGAAGCUGUGACCCCCACUUGGUGCUCCGUGGUUGCUUGUUUUUCUGAGUUCUCUGGCACCACCUUGUCCCUCCUUGUCUGAAGGCCCACACCCAGCUGUGGAAACCACUUUGGGCACACCCGGUCCCACUAUGGGCUGUGCGCAGAGCUGUGGUGAUCACAGAAUCUGGGAGUGAGCCAACAACAGCCUGCCAGGCCAAGCGGGCGGAGCAAGCCCAGAGGGACUGAGCAAAGCUGGGGCAGAGUACCAGCCACAGAGGUUUUCAGCUGGCAAAGCGGCAGCAAAAGAAUCCUGUCUCAUCAUCAUGUUACAACUUCCUUUGGACAGUUUCUUAACUUCAUUCCCUGUCUCUAUAUUUCACCUUAUAAUCAAAACUCUAUGUCAUCCAUAGAUCAAUUUUUCUAAAAUGCAAAUGAAAUCAUGUCUUAAGAUAUUAUGUAAAGGCCUUUUAUAAAAUACAUUUUUUUCUAUAUUAUGAUUAUUUUUCAUUGUAGAGAUGGGGGUCUCACUAUGUUGCCCAGGCUUAAAAGCCUUUCUUAUUGAUAUCUGAAAAGGGUGAAGUUUUAAUAUGACACACCGGGCCUGUGCCUAGUUCUAGAGUCUCAUUUUGAGUGUCUCUUCCCCAUGGAUGCUAUAGUUCAGCAAACUUAAAAUUGAACUGCCCCAAACUCUCUCACUUGCCUCUCUGUUUUUCCUUAAGUGCAGUUACUUCUUUUCUUUGCAAUAUUCUUUUUUGUGUCUCUUUCUUUCUUUCUUUUUUCCCAUUCACCACUGAUCAGAAGGCAGGAAUAUUUUCUUUCUUGAUUGCCCUUUUUAGGAAAUCAACUUGAGUUUCAAUCCUAACUUUGAGAUAUUACUUUGUACUCCAGUCAGUUUGUUGUCUCUUUUUAAAAUGUUUCCGGCUGGGUGUGGUGGCUCAUGCCUGUAAUCUCAAUGCUUUGGGAUGCUGAGGCAGGAACACUGCUUGAGGCCAGGAGCUCAAGAUGAGCCUGGGCAACAAAGUGAGGCCCCAUCUCUGCAAGAAAUUUUUAAAAAUACAAUAAGAUAGAGAGGAAAUAAGAUAAUUACUUCUGAAGGAGGUAACAUGUUCUAUAAAUCAGAAGUAUGACUGGAGGUAUGAGGUAUCCUGGAGGUAUGUGUGGAUUUAUCUGCCUGGUAUGGCCCAAUUCUCUUUGUUAUUAAAGCAGGAAAUCAACACGACUCAAGUUUAGCACCAGGUAACGUAGGUUUCAUGUGGCAAGAUGACUUAGCUAAACUUGAUCAUCAUGUUUGAAGCCAAUGGCUGCUGAUCUUUACUUCCCUAUCAAACCUGCUGCAAUGCUUUAUAGUAAUGGCUAUGUACUUUCUAUACACUGUCUCCUUCAGUCUUAUGUCUCUUUCCAAUACUCAGAGUGGAAUGGAGUUUAGGGAUUGCUCCCUGGUCUAUCCAAUUUUCCAAAAUUACUACUCUGGGUAAGAUUUUUUUUUUUUUUUUAAUUUUUUGAGACAGGGUCUCACUCUGGCUGCUCAGGCUGGAAGGCAGUAGCACCAUCACAGUGCACCGUAGCCUCGACCUCCAAGUUCCAGGCUCAAGUGAUCCUCCCUCCUCAGCCCUACAGGCAUGUGCCACUGCACCUAGCUAAUUUAAAAUUUUUUUUGGUAGACUCCCUAAUUUGCCCAGGCUGGUCUCAAACUCCUGAGAUCAAGCAAUUCUCCCACCUCAGCCUCCCAAAAUGUUGGGAUUACAGGCAUGAGCCACCACACCUAGCCAAGAUAUUCUUCACUGUAUUCCACGGGACCAUACCUCCUGUCCAGGGAGAACUCCCUGGCUCACAAAAGAUAAGAGUGCACUCUCUAUGCCUAGCUUCUUUUUUUAUAUUUAUUUAUUUGUGACAGGGUCAGGUUUUGCUGCCCAGGCUAGAGUGCAGUGGUGCAAUCAUGGCUCAGUGGCUCACUGCAGCCUGGACCUCCCAGGCUCAAGCAAUCUCCCACCUCAGCCUCCUGAGAAGCUGAGACUACAGGCGCAUGCCACUACAUCUGUCUGAUUUUUGUAUUUUUAUUUUAUAGAGAUGGGAGUCUCCCUAUGUUGCCCAGGCUAGUCUCAAACUCCUAGGCUCAAACAUUCCACCUGCCUUGGCCUCCCGAAGUGCUGGGAUUACAGGCAUAAGCCACUGUGUCUGGCCCCACACUUGGACUUCGUAGGUCUGAAACUUCAUUUUAUUCAAGAGCUAUUCUUAAUAUAAUAGUUUGUGGUUUAAGAUUAUAGCUAUUAACUUUUAUUAAAGACAGAAUUUUCUUCUCAGUUUUCUAAAAAGCUUUUUUUUUUUUCAUAUUCUCUUGGCUUUAAAGAGAAGAGCAGUGUAAAAGUGGCUAGUCUGCCCCUUUAACUGCAAGUUCCCCUUAAAUCUUACUUUCACUUCCACAGUGUUACUGAACCUCCUCUCUGACAAAGGUCUAAUGACUUCCUAAUUGACAAAUCAAAAACUGCCUUCUCUGCUGACAGCCUCUACAUUGAAAGCUUUCGUUCCUAUCACUUCUUUUACAGUGCAAAUCUCAGUUAAUUUCUAUUCUCAUUCUCCUUUGUCUUCUCUUUCAAUCUCACUCCACUCUUUUCCUUGGGUUACUAAGGACAAACAUAUCCCUUUAUUUUUGUACUUGUAGCAGUUUUUGUACUGCUCUUAAUAACCCUUAGUAUAGGCUAAGUUCUCACUUUACCUGUACACAUGAUUGCUGCUGUGAUUUGUUUGACACGGCUUUACCUCCUUCUCCAGAGGAUGCAACAAUAAGGCACCAUCUUGGAAGCAGAAAGCAGCCCUCACCAGACACCAAAUCUGCCAGCACCUUGAUCUUGGAUUUCCCAGACUCCAGAACUGUGAGAAAUAAAUUUUUAUUUUUUAUCAAUGAGCCAGUCUAAGGUAUUUUGUUAUAGCAACGCAAACGGACCAAGAUAAUUACCUUUUUUUACUAGAAUAUUUGUUACCUGAGCAUGAAGUUUUAUCUUUCUUUACUGCCUUUUACAUAGGAGGUAAUCAAAUGUGUCCUGAAUUCAGGUUAUUAAAUUAUAUAAUGAAUUAGAUUAUAUUGCCACUGUGUUGUCUCUUUUCACCAAAAUCUACUAAUAAAUAGUUAUGUUAAGAAAUUAAAUAUAUUGCCAGGUGCGGUGGCUCACGCUGUAAUCCCAGCACUUUGGGAAGCUGAGGCGGGCGGAUCACAAGGUCAGAAGUUCAAGACCAGCCUGGCCAAGAGACCAGCCUGGUCAAUAUGGUGAAACCCUAUCUCUACUAAAAA